ensembl:lncRNA LINC02768 long intergenic non-protein coding RNA 2768
GGCCUGGCUACCCGGAUAACUUCCCCAAAAGAAGCUAUGCUCGGGCCUUCCCAUCGUCCCACUCAAGAGCUUUCUUCAUAUUGGUCCCUUGGUUGAAUUCUGUGUUCUGAAGAGGCAAGAAUUGAGGUUGCUGCAGACCUGUAUGGAUUCGCCACCAGUAACAAGAUCUCAGAACACUGGAAAAAUCGAUGCACAAAAAAAAAAGCCUCAUCCUGGGUUUGUGAGUUUAUGAAGAAGCUGAAGAGCUCCAUCACUUCCCAGCUAAACAUAGCUCUUCAGAUCUCAGGGUUUAAGAUGAUUUCCUCCUAAGUCAACGCAGCAUUUUGCCUCCAUUCAAGCAACCCCUUGCUCCAAGCAUCGUGAUGUGACAGUGCAGCGUUCACCGGCCCACCCCAGCUGAUCUGCCCUAUGGCACAAGAAUAACAAUUGGAAAAACUUGGCUUCCCUCCGAGAGCAAUGCCAGCUUUGCCCAGGCCAGCCAUCUCUGGCAUAACUCUGUUCAUUUGAGCUUUCCUCAUGUGUGAUCAUCCUUGUAUGACCCCGAGGCCAGAAUCCCCACUUAUUAAAGCUAGGAAAGACA